rnacentral:lncRNA from 1 species
UUUAUAAACUAAAAUCCCAAUACAUAAAUCGAACUUUCAAUUCAUAUCUUAAAAGUUCAACUCAUAUCCUAAAAUUUCAAUUUAUAAACUAAAAGUCCAAUACAUAAACCAAAAUUUCAAUUCAUAUCCUAAAAGUUCAACUCAUAUCCACAAAAGUUCAAGUCAAAUCCUAAAAUUACAAUUUAUAAACUAAAAUUCCAAUACAUAAACCAAAAUUUCAAUUCAUAUCAUAAAGGUUCAACUCAAAUCUACAAAAGUUCAAUUAAAAUCCUAAAAUUUCAAUUUAUAAACUAAAAUUUCAAUACAUAAACAAAAUUUUCAAUUCAUAUCCUAAAGGUUCAACUCAUAUCCACAAAAGUUCAAGUCAUAUCCUAAAAUUUCAAUUUAUAAACUAAAAUUCCAAUACAUAAACCAAAAUU